rnacentral:rRNA from 1 species
CUGCCCUACGGGAGGCAGCAGUGGGGAAUAUUGCACAAUGGGGGAAACCCUGAUGCAGCGACGCCGCGUGAGUGAAGAAGUAUCUCGGUACGUAAAGCCCUGUCAGCAGGGAAGAAAAUGACGGUACCUGAAGAAGAAGCCCCGGCUAACUACGUGCCAGCAGCCGCGGUAAUACGCAGGGGGCAAGCGUUAUCCGGAUUUACUGGGUGUAAAGGGGGCGCAGACGGCGAUGCAAGCCAGGAGUGAAAGCCCGGGGCCCAACCCCGGGACUGCUCUUGGAACUGCGUGGCUA